UGGAGGAGCAGUUUUCAGCAGAUGAGCUUGGUGUGGGGAAACGUGCUGUGGUGCAGGCAUAAUCUUUAUGGAACAGGAGGCAACGCUAUUCAGAGAUAACCACCAAGGCAGAAUGUUGGCGUGUGGAAGUACCUCUACUCAGAGUGAUAGAGAAAACUAUGGCUCUGCUUUUACUGAAGGAAUGGCUACCGGAGCGGGCAGCUUUAUGAAUAUAAGGUGAAAAGGAUGUAUGGAGAAGUUUUGGGAGAGUCAGACAGUCCACGGAACUUGCAAUGACUUAGCAAUGAUCUAUGCCAGGUGAGUGGAUUGACAUACUGU